CUCCGCCUCCCUAACCCUAGCAAGAUCUCGGCGGCGACAAGCCUAGGGGAGAACGCUGAGGAGGGAGAAAUUCUCUGGGAAGAAGAAGAAGCCAUGAUAGGCAGGCAGGAGAGUUGGAGACCAAGACCGAGGAGAGGGGCCGUUCCAAGAGGAAGAGGUAAUUUAUAUGGCAGGUAUGAGAAUUUUGGGAGAGGAUUUAUUAGGCAGGAUGAGAGAGAGCAGGACGGAUAUGGAUGGAGAAACAGAGAGGGAAAUUUCAGAGGGGGAUCAUGGACAAAUAGCAAUCGGUCUGGUGGGGAAGGAACCUCGACGGGAAAUGGCAGAGAUGGAGACAGCAAGCUAGGCAGGUUUACUUCAGACAUAAAUGGGAACCAGCAAGAGAGAUCUCAAGUUGGGAUGGGUGAGACUGGGCCUGGAAGUGGGUUUGUGGUUAGUAAUCCUAAUAUGCAGCAGAUGGGAAUGCAGGGAGGGCCUAUCCAGAUGGCAGGGGGCUUCCCAAUGAUAAGCAAUAGCAACUUACCAUAGAUGGUGCCGUUUGGAAUGGGGCUUGGGCAAUUUGGCUUCAUACCAUAAGACCAAAUGGCACAUCAAUACCAGUACCUGCUCUCAAAUCUGCCAAAACAGGAGAUUUUGCGGACACAAGGGGGAGCAAAGGUGGAAGGGGCCAAAGAGGCAACAAAAAAGAAGGAAGCAGGAAAUACCAAAGAGCUUUUCUGUGCCAAAUGCAAAGAACAGGGACAUAUGAAGAGUGACUGCAAAAACAAGGUGUUCUGUGUGGUUUGUCAAAGGCCAUCUCACAAUACUGAGGAAUGCACUAUGUUAAGGCAAGCUAAACCAGUUGCUAAGUAUGUUGGGUAUGGAGCUAGGGGUUUGGGGUGUCUUCUGGUUCAGAACACAAAGGACAUUGUAGCUUCUGAACACAUAAAUCAUAUGGCCUUGGUUACUGUGCAUGCUGGACAGCUGAAUGAAACCACUGUGGCCUAUGGAUUCAACAAGAUGUUUGAUUAGGGGUGGACAUGGAGAGCCAAAUUUCAGAGUCCCAAAACCUUUCUUAUGAGAUUUCCCAAUAAGGCCAAGUUGGUGGAGCUUAAAAACUUUGGUAAAUUCACUCUACUUGGCACAGGGGCUAUGGUGGAAGUGGACUUUUGGAGUCCAGAUGAUAAAGCAAAAGGAAAACUCCAUUCAGUUUGGAUAAAAAUGUGGGGAGUGCCUGAUACCCUGAGACAUUAUUUGGGUGUGUGUGAAAUUGGCUCAGCUUUGGGCCCUGUGGUUGAAGUGGAUGUAGAACAUAUUCAUUCCAAGGAAGAAAUUAGGGUGAAAGUGGGAGUGAGGGACUUGCACAAAAUCCCUGCUGGCACUGAGAUCACUACAAAAGACCUGCUGCUAUAUGACAUAGGCUUUGAGUUUGAUUCUUUUGCAGAACAGGGAUGGUACAAGUUUGAUGAGGGGAAUAAAAGGAAAUUUUUUGACUACCUUGAUCUGGAAAUCUUGAAAUACAGAGAGAGAAUGACAUGCAGAAGAAAAGCAAACAAUAUGAGACUUGGAAACCAAAUCUCAUUCUGGGGAGCCUGGGGCUAAAGCAGUAUGAACAAAUGGUCCUCAAUUCUGGUGACAUAGGCCAAACCAGUGAAGCAGCUAAAGAGAGAGUGGAGACAGUAACAAUAACAGAUACUCAGGGUGAAGAAGAAAGUCUGAGGAUGAGAUUACAAAAAGCAAAGGAAUUAGCUGCUAGGCAGAGUGCACAACUUAUGCUGGAAGAGAACAAAAGAAAAGAAAUGGAAAUCAUAGGAAAAACACUAGAAAAAGAGGUCACGAGACAACAUGAACUGUUGCAAAUUAACCUGAAAGUGAAUGAAGAUGUGAGGGGGGUCACAGUCAGGUGAAAAAACCACUGAAAAUGAAGAAGAGGAAGAAGCUAUUGAUGAGGAAGCAGCAACAGAAGACAAGCAGGUGGAUUGGGAAGACAUGACAGACCUUGAGCUGAUGAAUCAGGUAGUUGAUUUGGGUUAUAUGAAGCCAGUGGAUUAUACUGCUAGCCAGGAGAUAGAUUCCUUUGGGACAAAAGUUAAAAAAGCUGAGAAAGGGGAAUUGGAAUCCCAAGAGGAAGAAGAGCUAAGGAGAUGCACUAGAUUGAAAGGCAAGGAAGAUGGCAAUAUCACUGAGCUGGCCAAGGAGAGAGCAGCUCAGAAGAAUAACUAUGACAAACCCCGUAAGAAGUAAGAUGAUGGAGGCUGGAGUGAAACAAGUCGGCGAGGUGGCUGGAGAAGUGUUCAAAGCAGCUCAUGGAUGGCGCCUGAAGACUGGGAGAAUCAUGGGGUGACCACCUUUCAAUCCUCUAGUGCUGCGAAAACAGACGCUUCGACAACGACUUGCCUUCUUGUUUCAAGCUGCUCUCCGAUAUUUUGCUCCUGGGGCAGUAAUAAAAAUGUAGGGAUGGUAGACUACUAUGUUUAGAGGUGGCUGUGUGUGAUUCCCCUUGGAAUGUUUUUCUAUGUUUUGAGACGUGCUUUAAAGCUGAGGGCUGGGACUUGUUUUGAGCCCAGCCCUUGGAUC